rnacentral:rRNA from 1 species
CACGGGGGGAGCAAGCGUUGUUCGGAAUCACUGGGCGUAAAGGGCGUGUAGGCGGUCCGGUAAGUGGGAUGUGAAAUGCCCCGGCUCACCCGGGGACCGGCAUCCCAUACUGCUUGGCUUGAGUACGGGAGAGGAUGUGGGAAUUCCUGGUGUAGCGGUGAAAUGCGUAGAUAUCAGGAGGAACACCGGUGGCGAAGGCGCACAUCUGGCCCGAUACUGACGCUGAGGCGCGAAAGCUAGGGGAGCAAACGGG